rnacentral:lncRNA from 1 species
AGCAGAUAAAGAUGUGAUCGAGAUGAAAGAGAGAAAUGGCAUUUGGAAUUCUCCCUUCAGAGAUCAAAGUUAACAGUAUGGUGAUACGGCAUCCAAGGAAGACAGAAAUAACUGAUUUCAAGACAGUGAAAUUUCUACAAUUUACCAGUUAUUUAAAAGCUAGCAAACAAACAACGGCAUACUCACCUUCAUCUGUUGGGGGAAAAUUAUUUUUUGUCAUUGCUCACUUCAACAUGGGAGCAAUGAGAGAUAAGAGACACUAAGAAAUGAGUGUAGAAAUGAAUAUUUUUGCUCAUUCUGCUAGAAAAUAUAAUACUUAGUAGAAACAGAUUCCUGAAUUACUACACUUUAAACAUGCAAUCACAUUUUACUAUUAUAUGCUAUACACAUACUCUAAAUGUUGUAAGCUUAAUAUUUCAGAUUGUAUAAGAGAUUUUGAGGCAUGUUAUUGUACAUAAAAAUAACAUAAAUAGGGUUACCAUCCUAAUCCAAGGGUUACUUAGAAAAGAAACCAAUACAAUUUUU